rfam:Danio rerio chromosome 4, GRCz11 reference primary assembly.
GCAUUGGUGGUUCAGUGGUAGAAUUCUCGCCUGCUAUGCGGGAGACCCGGGUCCGAUUCCUGGCCAAUGCA